rnacentral:snRNA from 1 species
AUUUAUUUUGAUAUUUUUUAAUAAAUCCCUUUUUAUUACUUUAAUAUCUGAUAUGUCCUGCAAUGCGGGACUAGUCUAUUGAAUGGAUUUUUGGGAUCGGGAGUUGGAUUCGGGGCUUGCUCCGUCCGCUCCAUGCAUCGAACCGGAAUUGCAGUACCUCCGAGAACGGUGCACCCCCU